AAAAGAAUGCUAACUAACCACGUAAUAGUCUUGCGAGACCGUCUCUCCUGAUUAUGUGCUCGACCUGUACGCGGCGACAUACCACAAAGCCCGCCGCCGCCGCCGCCAGUGCCAUCCAUCGUCCGCAGGCACAACCCCAUUGCCGGCAGCAUAAGAUGUGUUGCAGCCAAGAAGUAGAUUCCAUCGCACAGGAGAAGGACUAUGAGAUUUUAUCAUAGAGGAACUGCCGCCGUCGAUGUUGUCAUCGGGCCUUGCCGGGAGUAUCAACAGUUCAAUUUGGAAGACAGUGACAGAACAUUAUUAGCUGGCAAUAGCAGCACUGUCUUUUGUCCGGCCAGGACAUCAAUAUGGCUGCUGCGAGCAGGCCGGUAGAGACCCAGAACAACAGUCUGCUACGGGACUCCACCUCCAAUCAUCGUCAUGUGGUAGCUUGAGGUGCCCAAGUGUUAGGCCGUGGUGCAGCAGUUGGCGACGGCGUGUCUGGACGCCAUGGGCAGACAGUGGCGUACAUCCCAUAUAGAUGUAUCUUUUUCUCACUUUAGCUGGUUUAUGAUGAAAUUGGGGAUCAUGUAUCCUAUGCAUGCAUGAUAACUACGUACAGUUUUUAUGUACAGAUGGUGUGUUGCACUGCUAUUUUGUUGAAAAGACAUUAUCCAUCAGUCCUUUUAUUUCUUA